rnacentral:rRNA from 1 species
AUUGAACGCUGGCGGCAUGCCUUACACAUGCAAGUCGAACGGUAACAGGUCUUCGGAUGCUGACGAGUGGCGAACGGGUGAGUAAUACAUCGGAACGUGCCUAGUAGUGGGGGAUAACUACUCGAAAGAGUGGCUAAUACCGCAUGAGAUCUACGGAUGAAAGCAGGGGAUCGCAAGACCUUGUGCUACUAGAGCGGCCGAUGGCAGAUUAGGUAGUUGGUGGGAUAAAAGCUUACCAAGCCGACGAUCUGUAGCUGGUCUGAGAGGACGAUCAGCCACACUGGGUCUGAGACACGGCCCAGACUCCUACGGGAGGCAGCAGUGGGAAUUUUGGACAAUGGGCGCAAGCCUGAUCCAGCAAUGCCGCGUGCAGGAUGAAGGCCUCCGGGUUGUAAACUGCUUUUGUACGGAACGAAAAGCCCUGGGUUAAUACCCUGGGGUCAUGACGGUACCGUAAGAAUAAGCACCGGCUAACUACGUGCCAGCCGCCGCGGUAACAC